UACAGAGGGUGCGAGCGUUGUUCGGAAUUAUUGGGCGUAAAGGGCGCGUAGGCGGCGCCACAAGUCACCUGUGAAAACUCUGGGCUCAACCAGAGCCUGCAGCGAAACUGUGGUGCUGGAGUAUGGGAGAGGUGCGUGGAAUUCCCGGUGUAGCGGUGAAAUGCGUAGGAUAUCGGGAGGAACACCUGUGGCGAAAGCGGCGCACUGGACCAUAACUGACGCUGAGGCGCGAAAGCUAGGGGAGCAAACAGG
rnacentral:rRNA from 1 species